UACGAAGGGGGGCUAGCGUUGCUCGGAAUGACUGGGCGUAAAGGGCGCGUAGGCGGCUUGCACAGUCAGGCGUGAAAUUCCUGGGCUCAACCUGGGGACUGCGCUUGAGACGUGUGGGCUUGAGUGGGGAAGAGGGUCGUGGAAUUCCCAGUGUAGAGGUGAAAUUCGUAGAUAUGCGGAGGAACACCGAUGGCGAAAGGCAAUCCCCCUGGACCUGUACUGACGCUCAUGCACGAAAGCGUGGGGAGCAAACAGG
rnacentral:rRNA from 1 species